rnacentral:rRNA from 1 species
UACGUAGGGUGCAAGCGUUAAUCGGAAUUACUGGGCGUAAAGCGUGCGCAGGCGGUUAUGCAAGACAGAUGUGAAAUCCCCGGGCUUAACCUGGGAACUGCAUUUGUGACUGCAUAGCUGGAGUACGGCAGAGGGGGAUGGAAUUCCGCGUGUAGCAGUGAAAUGCGUAGAGAUCCGGAGGAACACCAAAGGCGAAGGCAGUGUCCUGGGGAGUACCUGACGCUCAGGUGCGAAAGCCAGGGGAGCGAACGGG